CCUUACCAUCAUGAAGGAUCAAACCUGACCGGUGCCUGCUGACUGUUACAAUUGAGCCAUGGUUUACAGCAUUUUCAACAUUCUCUUCCAAAUUCUAAUGUUCCAUAGGAGGACUGUUUUGAAGAUUGAGAAAAAUGUAUUUUCCGGGGAAAUCAGCUUGGAGGAUAAGGCAGAGAUGGUAGCAGGGUGGACACUGCUGACUCUUAGCUACUGUCCGAGCUGUGUGAUACAGCACGCGCAUACCGCACUGAGAAGAAAUCAAAGCUAUUUCUUUAACACCAGCCUCAGCAGCCAUCUCCUGGCACUGCAGCAGAGACUCAAGCUGCAGAAUGCACCUCUUCAAUGUGUGUAUGUGAUUACUCAAGCAGAGCUGUAG
ensembl:lncRNA